CAGCAAUCUGGAAAAACCUCAUAAAACUAAGUAUGAAUAACUGGAGAGAGGAGGAAAUCUUACCUCUGCGUCUGGCCAGAUGUAUGGUCCCUUGUGCAAAAAAUUUGAUCUGGCCUCGUAGGAGCAGAAGAGAAAUUUGGGCUAAUGUCCUCACACCGAUCACAACCAAGAGGGGCGAAAGGCCGAGCUUUUGGAUCUUGAAUUGAUCAUAGGAAUUGGAUUUCCACACCAUGGAUCAAGUUCAGGGCGUCUUUCUCGACAGGAACUGGCGACUAAGUCGGCAUCUCAAUUGGGAGGGAUUUGAAAUCAAGGAACUUACUUGGAGUUGUGGUUGAAUGGGUGGAUAGCACAAAAUACAGCAAGGAGCAGUGAGAGGCCGACCAACAACCUAGAAAACAGACAAAGAAGACAACUUGGACUCGUAGAGAAGGAUGAGCACUCGGGAACUGUCACAAUGGGGGAAGCUGAAAUAGCAAGGAAGAAGUCGCGUUGUCCUUCUACCUAGGAAGGGUGCCGAAUCUGAGAGUAUGAUUCUUGGGAGGAGCAGCUGCUGAAAUCGCUGAGGAAGCACAGCUGAGCUUGUUAGAUUUCAAGGUAGGAAUUUCGCUGGGGGUGCUACAUCUGCGAUGAUGGUUGAGAACUUGAGAUCGACAAAGGUGUUCGUGGAGGUAAGGAAGUUAGAGUAGUUGCAAAGAGGAAACGGUGAAAGAAAUUGGGCAAAUCUUAUAGAAGGAGAUGAACAAAAGAGUUUUGGAAUUGCAGUUGGGAUGAAACCAGAUGGAAGGAAGGACUAAGAAAUUAGGAAAGAUCACGUUGGGAUGGAACUGAAUUAAGAAACAGGACUACUGUUCCUAAGCUACAGUGGCACCUUCUGGUUGGGCCCUAGCUUUCUAUAUCUUAA
rnacentral:lncRNA from 1 species